rnacentral:misc_RNA from 1 species
GAUGAAGAACGUAGCGAAAUGCGAUAAGUAAUGUGAAUUGCAGAAUUCAGUGAAUCAUCGAAUCUUUGAACGCACAUUGCGCCCGCCAGUAUUCUGGCGGGCAUGCCUGUUCGAGCGUCAUUUCAACCCUCAGGCCCCCGGGCCUGGCGUUGGGGAUCGGCGGAGCCCCCCGUGGGCACACGCCGUCCCCCAAAUGCAGUGGCGGUCCCGCCGCAGCUUCCAUCGCGUAGUAGCUAACACCUCGCGACUGGAGAGCGGCGCGGCCACGCCGUAAAACACCCAACUCUUCUGAAGUUGACCUCGAAUCAGGUAGGAAUACCCGCUGAACUUAAGCAUAUCAAUAAGCGGAGGA